rnacentral:rRNA from 1 species
UACAGAGGGUGCAAGCGUUAAUCGGAAUUACUGGGCGUAAAGCGAACGUAGGCGGUUACCUAAGUCGGAUGUGAAAUCCCCGGGCUCAACCUGGGAAUUGCAUUCGAGACUGGAUAGCUAGAAUGCGGAAGAGGGAAGCGGAAUUUCCGGUGUAGCGGUGAAAUGCGUAGAUAUCGGAAGGAACAUCAGUGGCGAAAGCGGCUUCCUGGUCCAGCAUUGACGCUCAGGUUCGAAAGCGUGGGGAGCAAACAGGAUUAGAUACCCUGGUAGUCCACGCCGUAAACGAUGUCGACUUGGAGGUUGUGCCCUUGAGGCGUGGCUUCCGGAGCUAACGCGUUAAGUCGACCGCCUGGGGAGUACGGCCGCAAGGUUAAA